UACAGAGGCCCCAAGCGUUGUUCGGAUUCACUGGGCGUAAAGGGUGCGUAGGUGGCGGGGUAAGUUUGAUGUGAAAUCUCCGGGCUUAACCCGGAAACUGCAUUGAAUACUAUUCUGCUCGAGGUUUGGAGGGGGGACUGGAAUUCUCGGUGUAGCAGUGAAAUGCGUAGAUAUCGAGAGGAACACCAGUGGCGAAGGCGAGUCCCUGGACAACACCUGACACUGAGGCACGAAAGCUAGGGGAGCAAACAGG
rnacentral:rRNA from 1 species